rnacentral:tRNA from 1 species
GGAGAGUUGUCCGAGUGGUUUAAGGUGCAGUCUUGGAAAGGCUGUGUACUCGAAAGGGUACCAAGAGUUCGAAUCUCUUACUCUCCGCCA